rnacentral:rRNA from 1 species
GAAUCUUGCACAAUGGGGGAAACCCUGAUGCAGCGACGCCGCGUGAGCGAUGGAGCCCUUCGGGGUGUAAAGCUCUUUCGGCAGGGAAGAUGAUGACGGUACCUGCAGAAGCAGCUGCGGCUAACUACGUGCCAGCAGCCGCGGUAAUACGUAGGCAGCAAGCGUUGUUCGGAGUUACUGGGCGUAAAGGGUGUGUAGGCGGUUGUUUAAGUUUGGUGUGAAAUCUCCCGGCUCAACUGGGAGGGUGCGCCGAAUACUGAAUGACUAGAGUGCGGGAGAGGAAAGUGGAAUUCCUGGUGUAGCGGUGAAAUGCGUAGAUAUCAGGAGGAACACCGGUGGUGUAGACGGCUUUCUGGACCGUAACUGACGCUGAGACACGAAAGCGUGGGUAGCAAACAG